rnacentral:rRNA from 1 species
CCUACGGGAGGCAGCAGUGGGGGAUAUUGGACAAUGGGGGGAACCCUGAUCCAGCGACGCCGCGUGAGUGAAGCAGUAUUUCGGUAUGUAAAGCUCUGUCAGCAGGGACGAAACAAAUGACGGUACCUGACCAAGAAGCCCCGGCUAACUACGUGCCAGCAGCCGCGGUAAUACGUAGGUGGCAAGCGUUAUCCGGAAUUACUGGGUGUAAAGGGCGCGUAGACGGUUAAGUAAGUCUGGAGUGAAAGGCCGGGGCCCAACCCCGGGACUGCUCUGGAAACUAUUUAACUUGAGUGCAGGAGAGGGAAGCGGAAUUCCGAGUGGAGCGGUGAAAUGCGGAGAUAUUAGGAGGAACAACAGUGGCGAAGGCGGCUUACUGGACUGGAACUGACGGUGAGGCUCGAAAGCGUGGGGAGCAAACAGGAAUAGAUACCCUGGUAGUC